rnacentral:rRNA from 1 species
UAUGUGAUCGUCUCUCGCAUAUCAAUAAGCGGAGGAAAAGAAACUAACAAGGAUUCCCCUAGUAACGGCGAGUGAAGCGGGAAGAGCUCAAAUUUGAAAUCUUAAAGGGUUUCCCUUUACGAAUUGUAGUUUAAAGAAGUGUUUUCUGUUGAGGUUUUGGUAAAAGUUCUUUGGAAUAGGACAUCAUAGAGGGUGAGAAUCCCGUAUUUGACCUUUACUUUCAACUUUGUGAUACACUUUCAAAGAGUCGGAUUGUUUGGGAAUGCAGUCCAAAAUGGGUGGUAAAUUUCAUCUAAAGCUAAAUAUUGGCGAGAGACCGAUAGCGAACAAGUACCGUGAGGGAAAGAUGAAAAGAACUUUGAAAAGAGAGUUAAACAGUACGUGAAAUUGUCAAAAGGGAAGCGUUUGACACCAGUGUUGUUUUUCUGAAAAUCAAUUAAAGAACUGUUUAUGCUAAGCUGUUUAGACUUUAUCAGCUAUCUGUUUAGUUUUGAGCUUUUCUUUAAUGCACUUUUCAGUUAACAAGUCAACAUCAAUUUCUUUUGCUGUAAAAAAGCUUGAGGAAGGUGGCUUGAGAUUCGUCUUAAGUGUUUAUAGCCUCUUGCCUAUGCAGUCGGAGAGAUUGAGGUCUGCAGCGUAGAUCCUUCGGGGCUAAAUGCAUUUGUGCUAAGUUAUAGCAUUUUAUAGACAACUUGUUGACUAUGAUUUGUCUUGUAGCUUACUCGCUUAUGUUAUUUUACCUACGCUUAGGAUGUUGACUGAUAUGUAGUCGUA